rnacentral:pre_miRNA from 11 species
ACAAAGAAUAUUCCAUGAGUUCUAUUGUCCUUCAUUCCACCGGAGUCUGUCUCAUAUCUAAUCAGAUUUCAGUGGAGUGAAGCACAAGAGACAUGGAGUUGA